AUGAGUAAAGCAUUGGAAAUUCAAAAUAGUAAAAAUUCAAUUUAUGAAAAGGAGUUCAUGGCUGUAAUUAUGACAAUUGACAAGCGGCGUGCUUACCUCCAGCGGGGACCCGUUACUAUACUCACGGAUCAUCAGAGUUUGUGCUCCCUUACAGAUCAACACCUCACUACUGAACUACAGAAAAAGGCAAUGUCAAAGCUGUUGGGCUUGCAAUUCUCGAUAAAGUAUCGCAAGGGCAUGAGCGAGAACAAUGCUGCUGACUGUUUGUCCAGAGUGGAUCACUUACUACAGAUGAAUGCCCUGUCAAUUUUUCAACCUGAAUGGGCACAAGAAAUCUUGAGUUCUUAUGAUAUGGACUCUGAAGCUAUGGAGUUACUUGCUCAGCUAGCCGUGAAGAGCCCUGAUGCACGUGGCUAUUCGUUGGACAAGGGCUUGAUUCGUUACAAUGGGCGGUUGUACAUCGACAACCAUUUGUCCUUGCAAACAAAGAUUCUCAGCGCUUUGCAUGACAGCUCAGUGGGGGGUGGGGGGGGGGGGAUUCUGGCAUUCAUGCCACCUAUCAGCGGGUGCGUAAGGUGUUCUUUUGGCCAGGCCUGA
rnacentral:rRNA from 1 species